AAUAAUAAUAAUAAUAAUAAUAAUAAUAAUAAUAAUAAUAAUAAUAAUAAUAAUAAUAAUAAUAAUAAUAAUAAUAAUAAUAAUAAUAAUAAUAAGGAUGUUCCUAAUUGGAUUUAGGAUAGCCUGACAUCUUUUUCGGAUAGCCUGCCAUCUUCAUAGGAUAGCCUGCCAUCUCGUAGGAUAGCCUGCCAUCUCAUAGGAUAGCCUGCCAUCUUCAUAGGAUAGCCUGCCAUCUUCAUAGGAUAGCCUGCCAUCCUUGUCGGCCGCCGUUAACAUUUCCACUUGUGUUUAAUAAUGGUUGACAGUCUGGCGGACCAUCUCUGUAAGAGGAUGCUUGUUUAAUAAGCUAAGUAUAACCUAUAUGAUUAGCUAGCUAAUCAUAUAGGUUAUACGGAGACUAAAGUUUUUCUAAACUAAUAGCUGUAUUAGUCCUAAUUACGUGAUUAUCUAAACAUACAUAUUGAGUUGUUGUUAUGGUACUAUUAAAUAUAUAUAGCUAGCUACAUUGAAGUUAAAAAUACAAGACUUAUUGCUAUGUUAGUUUGAGUGUGUAACUUUAUAGGUGCCUGGUGUUGUGAUAACUUGACAAUUGUUUAAAAAAUAAAUAUAUAGCUAAUAAUGACCCUCUUGUCUGUAGCUAGAUAGCACAGCCCUGUGCUUUAGAGAAAUUUAACUUUAUUAAACAAGGUUAGCAAGUCGAAAGGUGUGCUCUGUAGCUUUAGCUAGCUGUUCUUUUUCAUGACUGAUCUGGAAAAAUUAGAAAAUUCUAACCUGCACAUCCACGAAUCUAGAUAGCUAGCUAAGCAUUAUCUUAAAUCAUUUCAUACUUUUGAAACUAUAGCUAUAUGAUUCACAAUAAAUAUAAUUACGAUAAUAUGUUAUUCAGGGCUUUGACUAUCAUGUGCCAGUUAUCUUGUCUGCCUCUUUAAAUAUGCCUAAAUUUCUAAACUAAUUCUGUUACACUAAUUCUGUUACAAUGCUCCUAAAGCACCACAUAAGAAAAAUAGUUCACUAUUUGUCUGUUUGCUGAAGUUAUAUUUUUGAUAUAUAUUCAUGUUUAGGAAAUGAGUCUCAGGAUGCUCAAUCACAUAUAUGACCUAUAUCGUUUAAUUGUGAAAAAGAGAUUAUUCUAAAGCUUGUCAAAACGCAGUUUGCGAUGAAGUUCCAGAUAUAUUUAAACUAAGCAUAGGCAAAAUAUUCUUAAUUUUUUUGAGAAUUCUUCUUGUCAAUUUUUUUACUACAUUCUUAAUUUCUUUUACUUUGGGAUAAAAGUUUUAACUCAGUUGUAAUUUAAGUGAUAAAAUGUUUUACUUUGUCAAAACAAUUUGUAUAUACUGUGACAGUAAAACAGUAACAGAAACUUUGUAGAUAUUGUUAAAAUAUUAUCAUUUUGUGUCUGUUUAUAAAUUAUGGAAAGUUUGUCCAGUAAUUAUAGACCUUGAUAAGCUUUGAUUACGCAUAAUAUAGGAUCUGCUAGUACUAUUUCUUCUACUGGUAGAAAAGCAGGGUGUUUUGUUAAGGUUUUAUUAGUAAUUGUUUAAGUUUGAAAUUUUUUUGUCCUUUCACUUGGAAAACUGCUAGAAUUUUCUUAUUUCGAAUUAUUUUUUUAACAUAUUCUUGUAGUGCAUUGUAAAAAAAUUAUUGCAAAUAUUUGAAAAGUGUCUGGAAAAUUCUACCUAGAUAAUCUAACAAGAACUUACAAAUACUUAUAAAUUGCUUAUAUAUAUAUAUAUAUAUAUAUAUAUUCUUAAAAAAUGAUUUAUUACAAAAAAGUGUGUAUAAGUAAUUUCUGAAAUUCUUUAUGCGUAUCUUUCCUAUUAUUGUAUGUGUAGCAGUGUUUCUUCACAAAACUUCGGAGUAUUACACGAUCAAUCUAAUUUUUCAAAUUUUCUCAUCAACACUGUUUAUCUAAAAAUUGGAUGCAUGUUUUCUUUUAAUGAGCAAAAAGGUAGUUGUAUAUAUCACACUAAGCAAUGAUUAAGAAAACUGACAAUUUGAAAAUUAAAUUGUUAAAUUGGAUUGAUAGUGUCCUUAAUUGUGGGCAAUUUUCUGUGAAAGCAUGGUUAAAAAUUUUUUUAAACCUCUCAUAUUUCUAAACAAUUUCACUUUAGAGUUCAUAAUAUUACCUGAUGGGAAGCACUGAAAUGAAAAAGGCAAGAAUAUGUGCAAUCUGGGGAUUAUCGAUAUUUCAGCACAUGUUUAUGUAUCCAGGUAAAUGGUGGCACCUUAGUGUAAAUUGAAGCUCUCUAAUGACAGCACAAGUAUACCGAUGUAAUUUAUAAAUUUAAAGAAAUGGAUCUAAUUUAUAGGUUCAAGAAAAACUUAAUGCUGUUUUACGAGAAAGUCAUAUCUGCAAAAGAAGAAGAGAAUAAAGAAAAAACUCUUACAAUAUUUUUAUAGUUUAUUGAACUUUUAUCACUGUAACGGAAUGAUUAUUUAUCUUUAUAUCACACUCC